rnacentral:lncRNA from 1 species
GCCAUACUUGCUUUCACAGCUGGGAGGUGGGUAGCCUGGGGCAAGUUCUCAGCCCUGCUCACUCAGUGCUGUUGGUGGGGUGGGGGUGGGGGUACAGUGGGAGUGAGACCAGCCCUUUGGAUUCUGUGGGAGCUGUGUGAGGCCUGUGACUGCUGGCUUUCCCUCACUUUUCUGACAACCUGCACAACACAGUAGAGACAUCCAUAAUCCUUCUAGGAUCAUAACCCCAUUGAUCUGGGAGCCUCACCCCCAUCCCCCACAGCAGCUGCAGCAAAACCCGCCCAAGGAGACUCUGAGCUCAGACACACCUAGCCCUGCCCCAACCCAGUGGUCC